rnacentral:lncRNA from 1 species
AUUAUGUCUAGAUGACAAAUAAUGUAUAUAAAGGUCUAAGGUGAUAAUGCGUAGAAAGGUCUAAGGUAAUUAUUCACAAAUCUGGGGCGGCAGCGUAGCCUAGUGGUUAGAUAGUUGGACUAGUAACCGAAAGGUUGCAAGAGCAAAUCCCCGAGAUGACAAGGUACAAAUCUGUUGUUCUGCCCCUGAACAAGGCAGUUAACCCACUGUUCCUAGGCCGUCAUUGAAAAUAAGAAUUUGUUCUUAACUGACUUGCCUAGUUAAAUAAAGGUAAAAUAAAUUACAUUUUAAAAAACAAAGGUAUAUGGGGGUAAUGCAUAGAAAGGUCUAAGGUAAUAAUGCAUAGAAAGGUCUAAGGUGAUAAUGCGAAGAAAGGUCUAUGGUGAUAAUGCGUAGAAAGGUCUAAGGUAGUAAUGUGUAGAAAGGUCUAAGGUAGUCACCCUGAUGUUGUAUAAUACUGUAAUGCUCAUAGACUACUAUCAUAGAUCACAGAAAACAUUGUAAUCCCCCUUCGUAUGACCCAAUCCACAGCAAAAGGACCAUUGUUAACUUAUACUCAUCAACUGGUUGAUGAUCGAUAACAAACAAAAAAUGAACCAAGACGUUCACGAUACUCCGAUCAGGAUGAAGUUCUUGUAAAGAGGCCCUGGUUAAAUUUCUACCAGGUGCAAAUGCACCACCGUCUGGAGUGGAACUUCCCUCUCUAAGAUGUAUUUACAUACAGGAAGCCCCAUGACACAGUGUACAUUACUUAUUUCCUGGUGUAGGGUGGAAUAAGACAAUGGUUGCAUUCCCCUGCUGACUUUGCAUGCAUUAACCAAUGGUUGUGUGCCACGUCAACGACUGUGUUAUCGACUGACAGAUUGCUAUAACACAUGAUGUGGUUAGCUGAUAAGUAAAACUCAGGCGUUAAGAUCUGGCAGGCGUCAGCAACGUCUGUGCAGAGGAACGCGCCCAAUAUCAACCAAAACUUACUUCCCUUCCCCUGAAGUGCAACGGACAGUGCCCCUGCUAAGUAAAUGAUAAAUAUCUGCAUUAAAGCAAAAAAAUAAACACAUUCAUUCUGACCCAAAAAUCAAGUGCAAUAAUCAAUAUCAUGAACAGUUCAAUUAAACAUAUAUCAGUUGUUGGUUUUGAAAAUAAUCCCACACAGGAUUGUGGGGGGCACCACUGAUGUACUCCACUCUCUUCCAAAACCAGUAGAUGGCAGCAUAGACCAGAAAAAUGAUUUGGUUAUCCCUGAAUAGUCUGAGUAGUCAAAACGAUAUACUUUGCCCCUCCUGGUCUACAUUGCUUCAUCUGCACCUCCUGUAUCCUCCAGGGCUUAAUUCUGAAUGUGUAAAGCCUUUUAAAGUGUUUUAUUCAAACAGAUACUAUGAAAUACUAAAAUACAGACAUCAGAACAUAUAUAGAACCACAGGAGUUAUUGAAAAGGGAGUCGUCAUGAGUUUCAUGUUGCACCAGAGGGUUGUAGUCUUCACCCAGCAAUCUCAGAGACUGGGCAGCGCUGCUCUAACAGUCA